rnacentral:misc_RNA from 1 species
UUUCCGUAGGUGAACCUGCGGAAGGAUCAUUACUGUAUUACCGACCUGUGAGGGCUGUCGCUGAACCGAAGGGUCGUGCACGCUCUAGCUUUCUCACACCCAUCCAUCUCACCCCUAUGUGCACCACCGCGUGGGUCCCCCUCUGGCUUGUUCGGCAGGGGGCUUACGUUUUUACAUAUACUUUGUAUGUAGUGUAGAAUGUUUUUAUUGAUUUUGCGAUCACGCAUUCAAUACAACUUUCAACAACGGAUUCCGUGGAUCUCGCAUCGAUGAUGAACG